rnacentral:rRNA from 1 species
UACGUAGGCAGCGAGCGUUGUUCGGAGUUACUGGGCGUAAAGAGUGCGUAGGCGGUUUUCUAAGUUUGGUGUGAAAUCUCCCGGCUCAACUGGGAGGUGCGCCGAAGACUGGAAGGCUUGAGUAUGGGAGAGGUAAGCGGAAUUCCUGGUGUAGCGGUGAAAUGCGUAGAUAUCGAGAGGAACACCUGCGGCGAAGGCGGGUUGCUGGGCUGACACUGACGCUGAUGCGCGAAAGCCAGGGGAGCGAACGGG